rnacentral:rRNA from 1 species
UACGUAGGGGGCAAGCGUUGUCCGGAUUUAUUGGGCGUAAAGCGUGCGCAGGCGGCUUUGCAAGACAGAUGUGAAAUCCCCGGGCUUAACCUGGGAACUGCAUUUGUGACUGCAUGGCUGGAGUGCGGCAGAGGGGGAUGGAAUUCCGCGUGUAGCAGUGAAAUGCGUAGAUAUGCGGAGGAACACCGAUGGCGAAGGCAAUCCCCUGGGCCUGCACUGACGCUCAUGCACGAAAGCGUGGGGAGCGAACAGG